GUGUAGAACCGGCUGAGGCUGAGGCUCACUUUGGUCCUAACACACCCUGCAGUGACUGGCGGCCAGGGCUCAGGGAUGGACGUGGUACAGCCGGGCUGCGAGGGAACAGGCUGCUCAGCCACCUGCCCUUUGUGGGCUACGGGGCAAGACGGGCUUGGGGCAGCGAGCGCCCUGUGGAAGUCUCCGGCCCGUCCUGGACCCGCGACUGUGCUGCGACAACAGGGCCGGGCCUUGUCCUCCCGCCUGGACCCAGCUCAGAGCUCCUGCCCGGCCAAGCGGCUGGAACGCGGCGACAGCAACUCCUGCCAACUGCAGAGCCCUCUGCCCGCAGGCGAUCGGCCUCUCCCCGCCACACGUUCCUAGUGAAAGUAGGGCCAGGUCGAGCCCCGGGUAGCACCAGAGCUUCAGGCUUCCCAGAUGCGGUCUCCUGGGCCUCCCGGAUUGAGGGUAGCAUUGCCGGCAGCUUCCUCCAAAGCAGGUGGGAGCAACACCACCCCGUUCCAAAACCCCUCUCCAUCAAUAUCUCCAGUCGCCGUCCCCGAUCUCCCUUAUAAAGUCUACAUCAAUGCGAAGGGGGUUCAAGACCUCAAGAAAACGUCCUCUAUCUUUACAGAGGCCAGCGGGGGUCUGUUUCCUACUAACCGCGGGAUCGCCUUAUUGGUCCCUCGCCAAUUCAGCCCUUCCAUUCAUCUUUCCCCAUUCUCUCCAAAUGUCGGUUCCACUGUGGGCUAAAUAAAAUUUUAAUUUACAUUAUUACAGAUUCAAAA